rnacentral:rRNA from 1 species
UACGUAGGGGGCAAGCGUUGUCCGGAUUUAUUGGGCGUAAAGAGCGUGUAGGCGGCCAGACAGGUCCGUUGUGAAAACUGGAGGCUCAACCUCCAGACGUCGAUGGAAACCGUCUGGCUAGAGUCCGGAAGAGGAGAGUGGAAUUCCUGGUGUAGCGGUGAAAUGCGCAGAUAUCAGGAAGAACACCCGUGGCGAAAGCGGCUCUCUGGGACGGUACUGACGCUGAGGCGCGAAAGCCAGGGGAGCAAACGGG